rnacentral:rRNA from 1 species
AUGGACGUGGCAGAUUCUCCGGACUCCAUCUCCUGGCGCCUAGACCCCUCCGGCCGCUUCUCCACCGAAUCCCUCUACGCGGCCAUUGCCCCUUCGUCAGCCCCGGAGCCCUUUGGUCUUAUCUGGGACAUCCGCCUCCCACUUAAGAUUCGGAUCUUUCUUUGGCAAUGGAUCCGCGGCCGCCUCCCGACCGGCAUUGAGGUUCUUAAGCGCCAUGGUCCUGGCGAUGGAAUGUGCCCCCUGUGUGGCACGGUAGAGGACGCUAAUCACAUCUUCUUCCUGUGCUACACGGCACAGUUCCUUUGGUCUUGUUUCCGCGAAACGGUUGGG